GAAAGAAUGAUCGAUAGACGUGAGAUAAAAAGUAACGGAAUCUUCGAGGGAGAAAUCCGGUACAUUUUAAAAACUUAUUCCUCAUGAACGAUGAUAUAAAUAAAAAAAAAAAAAAGUAACGACUUACGUUAUUGCGUAUGUUAAAACGAGAAAGAUGGAAAAUACAUCAACAAAAGAAGAGAGAAAAGAAAAAAAAGAAGGAAAAGAAAAGGAAAGAGAAGAAAAGAGAAGCGUAUAAAUUAAACUUGGCCUCGCAAUGAUGUGGAAAAAAUAAAUAAAAAAAAAAAAAAAGAAAAAAGAAAAAAAAGGAACAAUAAGAAAAAAAGAAAACAGAAAUAAAGCGUGCGGAUUUGAUUAACCCGAAAUAGACUUGGCCUCGAAACGAUGUGGAAAAAAGAAUCUGAACGGAUAGAAAAAAAGGAAAGGAGAAGGGAAAAAAGGAAAACGAGAAAAAAGGAGGAGAGAAAAAAACAAAGAAAAGAAGAAAAGGAAAGAAAAAAGGAAAGCUCACAGAAUUUGAUUAACCGAAAUAGGCUUGUUCUUUCGAGGACUCAUAAUUAUGUUGCGGUCCUUAAAAUUAAUUUCUCAUGUCAUUAAAAUUUCAACGAAUGGAUUAGAACAGACCCGAACGCCAUGUUAAAGAAUAAAACUCCCGUUCUUUCUUA